rnacentral:lncRNA from 1 species
AGAAGUGUUCCAAGGAGGGUCAGAGUUCGUAUUGCUCGCAAGAGGAAUGACGAUGAAGAUGCGAAGGAGGACCUCUACUCUUUGGUUACAGUAACUGAGAUCCCACCAGAGGGAUUGAAGGGGCUUGGCACUAAGAUCAUUGAGGACGAAGAUUAAGCUAUCUAUCAGUAGUGGAGAAUGAUUAAAAAAAAAUACAUGAUGUUUUUGUAAUUCUUUGAGACUGAUCAAUUUUGUUAGGAAACUUAAUUUUGUUUUUUUGGAUCAUCCUAUUUGCCAUCAGUUUAAUUGAAUCAUCUUUUCUGUUCUUCAUGGUUUAAGUAUCACUGCCGUCAUUACGUUUUGUUAUGUUAUUACUUGUUGCUUUUGUUUCUGAAUGUAGUACCUACUGUUACUUUUGUAUUUUUGCUUCGGUUUUCCGAUUGGUAUGCUUGUUGUCCUUUUACCUUUUUUGAGCCGAGGGUCUAUCGGAAAUAGCCUUUCGGCCUUCUUGAAGGUAGGGGUUAAGGCCUACGUACACUCUACCUUUCC